GGACAUCCGGACUAAAAUACCUUUUAUUAAUAUAUAUUUUUUUUCAAUCUUUUUUUCCUACCAAAACACUUAUUUUCUCUACUUUCCCUUUCCCUUUCCUUUUUGAAACACUUAUUUUCUCUACUUUCCCUUUCCCUUUCCUUUUUGAAACACAGCAAGGCCUUCGAACACACUAGGGCUUUACCUUUCCCUUUUGAAACAUACCAUUCAAACACAGCUAGGGCCUUCCUUUCCCUUUUGAAAUAGACCAUUUGACCCUACUCACAAUUCUUUUCCUCCUAUCCAUUGAGGUUGAAGAAUCAACCUCUGCUUUCACAAGUCCAAACUACGAAGCUGAGGACCCAAAAAUCUUUCUCCUUUUCCAUUGUUGAUGCUGCACAGUCCAACUUCUUCAAAGGUUAGUUUCGCUCCUUUUUCUUUUAGCCUUUCCCUUUCGAAACACACCAUUCGACUCUGCUCACAAUUCCUUUCUUUGAUUUGUUAUUGAGGUUGAAGAAGCAACCUUUGCUUUCACAAGUCCAAACUAGAAAGCUCAGGACCUAGAAAUCUUCCUCCUUUCCCGUUGUUUAUGCUGUACAGUCCAAUUUCUUCAAAGGUGCUGGAAUUUCCCUUUCAUCUUUAGUAGUUGUUGAAGGAAAGAUUUGUUGGGAUCCUUACUAAUAUUGAUUUUCUAUAUUUUUCGGCAUUGGAGGAGCAAGUGAUGGACUGAGCAGAAAAUUGAAGCACAAAAUUUACCAUCGUUAGAGUUACAAGUGUUUGCUGAGAAAAUUACACACACACUUAUAGAGAUAGAGAAAGAGAGAGAUAUAUAUAUAUAUAUAUAUAUAUAUAAAUAGAUAGAGAAGCAUUGGUAGCGGUUUGUCCCCCAUUAAUAUAAGUUGCUUCUCAGAACAAAACAGAAAAAUAUUGUAAACUAAUUUCGCUUUAAUGUAAUGAACUAAUCUGAGAACCUUUAUUUGUGCUGUAUUGAAUGGUUUUUCACAA